UUUUAUUUGAGAGUUUGAUCCUGGCUCAGGAUGAACGCUGGCGGCGUGCCUAACACAUGCAAGUUGAGCGAUUUACUUCGGUAAAGAGCGGCGGACGGGUGAGUAACGCGUGGGUAACCUACCCUGUACACACGGAUAACAUACCGAAAGGUAUGCUAAUACGGGAUAAUAUAUUUGAGAGGCAUCUCUUGAAUAUCAAAGGUGAGCCAGUACAGGAUGGACCCGCGUCUGAUUAGCUAGUUGGUAAGGUAACGGCUUACCAAGGCGACGAUCAGUAGCCGACCUGAGAGGGUGAUCGGCCACAUUGGAACUGAGACACGGUCCAAACUCCUACGGGAGGCAGCAGUGGGGAAUAUUGCACAAUGGGCGAAAGCCUGAUGCAGCAACGCCGCGUGAGUGAUGAAGGCCUUCGGGUCGUAAAACUCUGUCCUCAAGGAAGAUAAUGACGGUACUUGAGGAGGAAGCCCCGGCUAACUACGUGCCAGCAGCCGCGGUAAUACGUAGGGGGCUAGCGUU
rnacentral:rRNA from 1 species